UACGGAGGGUGCGAGCGUUGUCCGGAAUCACUGGGCGUAAAGGGCGCGUAGGUGGCUGGGGAAGUCGGCGGUGAAAGCCCGGAGCUCAACUCCGGGUCGGCCGUCGAGACUCCUCGGCUCGAGCUCACUAGAGGCAGAUGGAAUUCCUGGUGUAGCGGUGAAAUGCGUAGAUAUCAGGAGGAACACCGGUGGUGUAGACGGCUUUCUGGACCGUAACUGACGCUGAAACACGAAAGCGUGGGUAGCAAACAGG
rnacentral:rRNA from 1 species